rnacentral:rRNA from 1 species
ACUGCCAGAUCACAGGGGUGGCGGGCCCUGACCGGCCUAGGGGCGUGCCCAGGAAGAGGGAUGCCAGGGCGCCGAGCCAGGUCCAUGGUGACCACGUCAAGACCGUUCCGCCGAGGGGGAGGCUCCCUAGGGCGGCCAAGGAGAAAGAGAGCAAGUUGGCCAAGGAGCUCAGGAGGGAGCUGGAGCGUACCUUGAACCUGAUGAAUGACUUGGUGCGCAUCUUACUGGCCACUUAUUGUUAUUGGUCCAUAUACUCCCUG